CUACACCAAAAUUAGUAUGAUGGACAAACAUUGCACUAGUAAAACUAAAACUAGUGAAUUGUUUGUGGGGGCCAUGACCCCCAUGACCAUCCGCCACUGACCCAGGGUACCUCAUGACACAACUCUUUAUAGGUGCACGUUCCAGGGUUGUUUUCCAAAUAAUUGGUUUCCGAAAUGAAGAACAAGAAUAUUGGUCAUAGGCUGUGGAAUGGUAAUGGAAGGACACAUUACCUUUGACUUGGUUAUACGCACGGGUGAGAGGCCUGAUGCUAUUACAUUUACUUAAGUUACCGGUGGAUAUUGCUUAGUUGUCAAGAUGUAAGAAGCUUUCAGAAUAUCUAAUGCUUAUGGUAUCGGUUGGU
rnacentral:lncRNA from 1 species